AACGAACGCUGGCGGCAGGCUUAACACAUGCAAGUCGAGCGCCCCGCAAGGGGAGCGGCAGACGGGUGAGUAACGCGUGGGAAUCUACCCAUCACUACGGAAUAACGCAUGGAAACGUGUGCUAAUACCGUAUACGUCCUUCGGGAGAAAGAUUUAUCGGAGAUGGAAGAGCCCGCGUUGGAUUAGCUAGUUGGUGGGGUAAAGGCCUACCAAGGCGACGAUCCAUAGCUGGUCUGAGAGGAUGAUCAGCCACACUGGGACUGAGACACGGCCCAGACUCCUACGGGAGGCAGCAGUGGGGAAUAUUGGACAAUGGGCGCAGGCCUGAUCCAGCCAUGCCGCGUGAGUGAUGAAGGCCCUAGGGUUGUAAAGCUCUUUCACCGGUGAAGAUAAUGACGGUAACCGGAGAAGAAGCCCCGGCUAACUUCGUGCCAGCCGCCGCCGUAAAAC
rnacentral:rRNA from 1 species